CCGCCCUCCCCCUGCGCUGGCCCGCCGGCUGGGUCUGCGCCGGCCGCCCCGGGCCGCGGGGUGGGCGCCGGGCAGCGCGGGCAGGGGCAGGCCGCCCACCUCUCCCUCGGUCCUGGAAGCUUCUGAAGCACCCACGGCGCUCCCGAGGCCCGCCCGCGCCAGGGUGGGGAGGACGGACAGGCAGGCCCCGCGGUGGCCCCGUCCAGUCCGGGCCACAGGGAUCAACAGAAGACCUGAAAUGUGGAGAGAAGAAGGCAGACCAUCUCGGGAUGUUGGGACCCAAGGAAGGAUAUGCUGCAAAGGAAAGGCUACAUUCCGUGGACCCCAUUGAGUCUAAGUGGGCCGAUGUGACUUUCUGGCUGAUGGUAUCCACCACAAGUGAAGUACACCACAUUCAGAACUGGCCGUUAAACAUCCUUCACAAUCAGCCACCGUCUUUCUCCUCCAUCCCUAUGGCUAAGAAGAUGGCAGAGCUGUACAGUGUAAGAAGCCCAGAUGAAUGAGUACACUGCUU
rnacentral:lncRNA from 1 species